AAGGAAUAUUGGUCAAUGGACGCAAGUCUGAACCAGCCAUGCCGCGUGAAGGAUGAAGGUCCUCUGGAUUGUAAACUUCUUUUAUCUGGGACGAAAACGGGAUUUUUAUCUCAAUUGACGGUACCAGAGGAAUAAGCACCGGCUAACUUCGUGCCAGCAGCCGCGGUAAUACGAAGGGUGCAAGCGUUACUCGGAAUUACUGGGCGUAAAGCGUGCGUAGGUGGUUGUUUAAGUCUGAUGUGAAAGCCCUGGGCUCAACCUGGGAAUGGCAUUGGAAACUGGGCAGCUAGAGUGCGGUAGAGGGUAGUGGAAUUCCCGGUGUAGCAGUGAAAUGCGUAGAGAUCGGGAGGAACAUCUGUGGCGAAGGCGACUGCCUGGACCAGCACUGACACUGAGGCACGAAAGCGUGGGGAGCAAACA
rnacentral:rRNA from 1 species